UCAGAAACUGACCUAUCAAAUGAGGUCAAAUAAAGUCCAGAAAUGUAUUGUCCAAUAAUUGAUAUUAGAGUUCAAAGUUUUAAAUCCAAUAACCGAAACACACACUAUUGCCAAGCAAUAGUGUGGGGAAAGCGCCCAGAGUCUUUGAAGUCCAAGGUAGCUUGAGAACAAGGCUGGAAACAAACUGGAAUCAUUAAACAAGGUCAGUGACUAGGAACAAGGUGAAGCAGAGAUUUUAAGAGCAAGGUCCGUGGCUAAAAACAAGGCUAGACCAAUCUUGAAUACUUGAUCCGUGAAGCAAGGAACUGGGGUUGCGGACUUUGCGAAGUCCACACAAGGCUGGAAACACGAAGUUGCUUCUGGAGCUGCUCAGUUGGCUCCGCAACAAUUCUAACGUGCCAGGCACCUAUAUUGGGGUCUCGUUUUCCCGCCAAACAGGUGUUCAGCGUCCUCUUUCCCUAGAGAACAGGGAACGAAACCUAACUUUGCAGAUGUGAGACUCUCUGGAUUUUCCCAGGGGAAACAUGGCUAAUCAGUGUCUUGUUUGGCAGCAAUUCGUAAACUCCUGCGAACCCGCUCUUUAACUCCCCUGUCUGCAGUAAAGGAAUGUCUCCUAGCGAAGGGAGGUGAGAGCUGUUCAAGGUCGGUUUUAAUUGGCUUUUGGGCAAGAACAUCAACAUCAGGCAUUUUGAAGGAGUCCGGCUGUUGUUGAUCCGGAGAAAACCCCAUGUUUUCAUCCUCAUCUGCCACAGUGACACUAGGAACGGGACUACAAGGCCCAUGAGGCAUCACACACGAUUUCAUUUUCAUUUUUGGAAGCUGAGAACCAUGGAAAGGAAGCAAGAAUUUAUUUGGCCUGUUCCUAAAUUGGUGGAUGAAGGUGGAAAUUACCUUAAGCCGACUGGAAUUGAUCCUGAAUGUCAAACAGACUGAGGUCUGUGGCCAAGAUCUGCCAGCAGCCAAAAGUGACGGAUAUGCAGACUGGUUCCAAAUCGACAAAUGGAUUAGUGCAGUUGUCUCUUUAGAAAUCCCUGCAAAUAUCAAGGAUCAAAUUUACUUCCUGCUUCAAAGAACAUCAUAAUGCUAACAUUGGUUAACUAAUGUUUGUUGUACUUUUCUGUGUAUUUUUUCUCUCCUUAAAAUGGUACAAAACAAUUGUUUCCAGUAGGACUUAAGUUAUGACUAACUUUGAGUCCUAUUGAAUUAUAAAAUAUUUAUAAAUAACCUGUAUGAAGAAAUAGAGGGCAUGGCCAUCAAGUCUCUAGAUGACACCAAAAUGGGAGGGGUAGAUAAUAUUGCAGAAGACUUCAAGAUGACCUCAACAGAUUGAAGAAUCGAGCCAAAAGUAAUACAGUGCAUUUCAAUAGGGAUAAAUGUAAGGUUCUACAUUUAAAUAGUUAAAAUCAGAUGCACAAAUACAAGAAGGAUGACACUUGGCCUGAUAACACUAUUAUGAAAAAGAUAUAGUGUCCUAGUACACUAUGAAUCAAAAAUAAAUCAUCUGUAUGGUGCAACAGCAAAGGUAUUAACAGAAUUCUAGAUUACAUUAACAGAAGUACAGUGUCCUGGUCAACAAACUUUGAGAACAAUAGCAAACUGAAACAUGUCAAGAAAAGAAAGAUCAAAAUGAUAAGGGAUCAAAAACAAACACCCAGUGAUGAUAGAGUGAGCCAGGUAUUUUCAACAUGGGAAAGAGAAGUUUGAGAAGGGUUGUUACAUGGCUAAUGGAGUAAGCUUGUUUUCUGCUAUUUCAGAAUAUAGAACUCAACCAUUCACAUUAAAAGCAAGGAGAUGCCAACUAAAUGUUAGCUGCACUUUUUGUAUUUAUAAUAGCUUAGAUCAAAGGUGGAUAGCAUACGAUCCACCAGAUGUUGUUGAACUGCAACUCCCAGCAUUUCUCACUUUUGGCUGUGUUGACUGUUGGGAAAUGCAGUUCAGUCACAUUAUUCCCAUUUCUGAUCUAAUUCCUAGUUCAAUUGGAAUACAUAUUUUUUAGUCAGGAGCAACUUGAGAAACUACAAGUCACUUCUGGUGUGAGAGAAUUGGCCAUCUGCAAGGAUGUUGCCCAGGGGAUGUCCUGAUGUUUUUGAUGGGUUUUUUUUUACCACCCUUGUGGGAGGCUUCUCUCAUGUCCCCACAUGGAGCUGGAGCUGAUAGAGGGAGCUCAUCCACACUCUCCCCAGGUUGGUUUCGAACCGGCAACCUUCAGGUCAGCAACCCAACCUUCAUCAGUCCUGCCAGCACAAGGGUUUAACCCACUGCGCUACCAGGGUUCCAUGGGAAUACACAUGAAAUUGGUGGAAAUUGGUUGACUUACCACUCAACAAUUGAUUCAAUGGAUCCAGCCUAGUUUUGUAUUGGACAUCACUUGUAGACCAAUAUAGAAAUGACAUAUAUUACACAAUUGGAAGCAGAAGAUGGAGAAGCUCAAUUCUCUCUGCAAAAAUGAGAUCAGGAGCAAAUUGUGGCACAGUUCAGGAACCACUAAUAUCAAAAAUUAAAGUUUAAAGAAGAACCAUUGUGACCUGAAGAACAUUCCUGUAGAAUUUAAAGGUAAUGUUAAAAACAGAUUUGUACUUUUAAAUCUAAUUGACCAAGAGCCAGAAGGGUUCUGCAUAUUGUCAGAGAUGAAUGUAAAAUGGCACUAUCUGCAGCCAAAAAGAAAAACAGAUAACAGAUAAAAAAUACAAGCAGUUAAGGACAAAUGAGAAGCAGAAGGAAAAGGUGACAGAAAUAGACGUACGGAGGGACUAUUAGAACUACUAUAUAAUAAUCAAUGCAGAGAAAAAGGAGGUGACAACAAAAAAAGGAAGAACAAGAAAUUUCUUCCAUAAUUUCUCAGAAAUCAAAGGGAAUUUUAAACCAAGAGUGGGGAUGCUCUGCAACCAACGGGAAAACAUUACAUAAUCAAGUUGAAAUAAAAAGGCAAUGGAAAAGAUAUACAGAAGAACUACAUAAAAUAGAUGAAAAAAUACAGAUUCAUUCAAUGAAGAACUAUUUAAAUGUGAACCUCCAAUUUUAAAAAAGGAAGUUAAAGCUGCACUUGGGAGAAAGAAAUCACCAGGAACAGAUGGCAUACCAAUAUAGCUACUUCAGGUUACAGAGACAGGAUCUAAUCUAGCUAGUUUAAAGCAAAGCAACAGCUCACAGUUUGGAAACAUUCCAGUUCCAAAGAAAGGGGAUACCAGGGACUGCAAUGACCACAAAACCAUUGUGGUAAUUUCCCAUGUCAGCAGAAUAAUGCUCAAAAUCUUACAACAAAGAUUUUACCAUAUGUGGAGAGAAAUGCAAGAUGUCCAACCUUGGUUCAGGAAAGGAAGUGACACCAGGGUCAUACUGCAAUCAUAUGCUGCAUGAUGGGGCACAACCCAGAAUUUCCAAAGAAAAUCAGUUUGUGCAUUAUUGAUCACAACAAAGCCUUUGAUUGUGUAGAAUAGAUCAUGAAAAGUCUAUGGACCACUCUUAAAGAAAUGGAUGUGCCACAAUAUUUGAUUGUCCUGGUGCCUAACCUGUAUUCGGGACAAGAGGCUACUGCCAGGACAAAAUAUAGAGAAACUGAAUGGUUUCCAAUUGGCAAGUCAUCUCUGCUUAACUCAUACACUAAACAUAUCAUAUAUAAAGGAUGAGUAGACUUGGAGGAAGGGGGCAAGAAAACUGGAGGCAGGAACAUCAACCAUUUUAAGAUAUGUCAAUGACACAAUACUUGUGGAAGAAUAUAACAAAGGCUUGGAAUGAUUACUAAAGAAAGUCAAGGAAGGAAGUACAAAGUAAGGUUUAAAGCUGAACAUGAAGAAAACAAAAAUAAUGACAACCGAUACCGUAAUUCACAUGGUUGACAAUGAAGAUGUCGAAAGAGUUUAAGAUUUUCUAUAUCAUUAAGCAAUCAAUAGAAUGGGGAUUGCUGUCGAGAAAUCAGAAAACUGAGACAUGGAAGGGCAGCUGUCAAGGAACAAGGCAAGAUUCUCAAAUGUAAAUAUAUAUCACUGAAUACUAAAGUAAGAAUUAUCUAGGCCACUGUAUUUUGAAUUUCUAUGUGGUUGUGAAGGUUGGACAGUGAAGAAAGCUAAUGGGAAGAAAAUUAACUCAUUUGAAAUGUGGUGCUGGAGAAAAGUUCUACCAAUCCCAAGAACUACUGAACGAAUACAAUAAGAAAUAAAUGGGUCCUUGAGUAAAUUAAGUCUGAACUGGGUCGCUGUGAGUUUUCCGGACUAUAUGGUUAGGUUCCAGAAGUAUUCUCUCCUGGAGUUUCGCCCACAUCUAUAGUAGGCAUCCACAGAGGUUGAGAUUGCUUCUGGAACAUGGCCAUAUAGCCUGGAAAACUCAGAGCAACCCAGUCAUUCCGGCCAUAAAAGCCUCUAACAACACAAGCCUGAACUCUUCUUAGAAGCCAAGAUGUCUAAACUGAGACUGUUGUACUUUGGCCGUAUUAUGAGAAAGCAAGAUUCACCAGAAAAGGCAAUAAUGCUGCUUGGUUAGGUAGAAGGAACAAGCGAAAGAGUAAGAUCACAUUCCAGAUGGAUAUAUUCAAUCAAAAAAGCUACCUUCCUGAGCAGAGCUAUUGAGGAUAGGGUGACUUGAAGGUAUUAUAUUCACGGGGUUGCCAUGAGUCAAAAUCAACUUGACAGCAGUUAACAACAAUGUAUCAAUUUGAUUUAAACUCUGAAGUGUACUGCUUUAGUUUUGUUUCUUGCUGUUUUGUCAUAUAUUUUUAAACAACAAAUUGUUUAUUGUUACAAUAAUAAAAACAAAAUGUAAACAGCUAAGUGAACUAAACUCCAGAUGAAUAGAACGUAGCAUGGCAGUUCUGCUGUGGGUAAAACUGGCUAGACACUUUAGUUUAGCACAUACAAACCAGGAGGUCACGUCUGCCUCUGGUUGUCUUCUUAAAAAUUCAACAGCAUUAAGCAUACCUAGGUUUCAAAGGUAAAAAUACAUCACAAACUGUUUUAAAAGUCUAACCUUAUUUAUUAAGGAAUUCAGGGAGCCACUGUUCUAUGAAGGGGAGCUAAGAAUCUCUAACCCAGUGGUUCUCAACCUGUGGGUCCCCAGAUGUUUUGACCUUCAACUCCCAGAAAUCCUAGGUAAAGGUAAA